rnacentral:lncRNA from 1 species
GGGAACAAUGUAAUCUUUUGAAACUCUCAUAUAUUCAAAUUCUUAUUUAUUUCAUAUGCUUGUCAUAUACUUNUUUAUCAAUNGUUNNGUUCUCAUUUGUGCUCAAUGCUUUUAUUAUUUAACUCAUUCAGUAAAAGAUGUUUGUCUUUAUCGAUAUGGGGACGUACGGUAAUGUCAUGAAUUGGUGGGAAAUUCCUUGAUUAUGCCAAUAUCACCUAGGGAUACGGGUAGGACGGUGAAUUGUAGUUGCUUCCGAUCACAUUGCAUUAUUGGUUACUAGGGGAGGCUAGGGAUAGCAAGCCGGUAAUUAAUAAUAGGCUCUUUUCACCAAGGGAUUGGGUUAAGGGUAAAUAAGAAAGUAUGCAUGGCAAUUAGAUAAAUAAGUGAAGUAAAUUAGAAGAGUAGAUAUAUGAGAGUGGAUAAGAUGAAAUUGUAAACCCCAACAACACCAUUCAUCCAUAGUUUGUCAAAACCAAUUGAAUCAACUGCAUUGCAUGUUUAUUUUUGUUCUUUGCAUAUAACCACCAAAUUUAUUCUCUUCUCAAGUCUUACGCAAUUAGGUUACGUGAAAGUUAAGGCCUAAGAGUCCUUUAGGAAAACGUU